rnacentral:rRNA from 1 species
ACGAGAUUCCCACUGUCCCUAUCUACUAUCUAGCGAAACCACAGCCAAGGGAACGGGCUUGGUAGAAUCAGCGGGGAAAGAAGACCCUGUUGAGCUUGACUCUAGUCCGACUUUGUGAAGACACAUGAAGGGUGUAGCAUAGGUGGGAGCGCAAGCGCAAUUGAAAUACCACUACUUUUAUCGUUUCUUUACUUAUUCAGUCCAGCGGAGAGCGGGGCGCAAGCCCCUCGCUUCUGGAGUUAAGCGGCAACCGGCGCUCGUCGUCGGCCGCGAUCCGCUCUGAAGACAGUGUCAGGCGGGGAGUUUGACUGGGGCGGUACAUCUGUCAAAAGGUAACGCAGGUGUCCUAAGGCGAGCUCAGCGAGGACGGAAACCUCGCGUAGAGCAAAAGGGCAAAAGCUCGCUUGAUUUUGAUUUUCAGUACGAAUACAGACCGUGAAAGCGUGGCCUAUCGAUCCUUUUGACUUUAAGAGUUUUAAGCAAGAGGUGUCAGAAAAGUUACCACAGGGAUAACUGGCUUGUGGCAGCCAAGCGUUCAUAGCGACGUUG